CAGUGGCGAACGGGUGAGUAACACGUGGGCANUCUGCCCUGCACUCUGGCACAAGCCCUGGAAACGGGGUCUAAUACCGGAUAAUACCUUCUCCCGCAUGGGGGNGGGUUGAAAGCUCCGGCGGUGCAGGAUGAGCCCGCGGCCUAUCAGCUUGUUGGUGGGGUAAUGGCCUACCAAGGCGACGACGGGUAGCCGGCCUGAGAGGGCGACCGGCCACACUGGGACUGAGACACGGCCCAGACUCCUACGGGAGGCAGCAGUGGGGAAUAUUGCACAAUGGGCGAAAGCCUGAUGCAGCGACGCCGCGUGAGGGAUGACGGCCUUCGGGUUGUAAACCUCUUUCAGCAGGGAAGAAGCGCAAGUGACGGUACCUGCAGAAGAAGCACCGGCUAACUACGUGCCAGCAGCCGCGGUAAUACGUAGGGUGCGAGCGUUGUCCGGAAUUAUUGGGCGUAAAGAGCUCGUAGGCGGUCUGUCGCGUCGGAUGUGAAAGCCCGGGGCUUAACCCCGGGUCUGCAUUCGAUACGGGCAGACUAGAGUGUGGUAGGGGAGAU
rnacentral:rRNA from 1 species